rnacentral:rRNA from 1 species
UACGUAGGUGGCAAGCGUUGUCCGGAUUUACUGGGCGUAAAGAGCGCGCAGGCGGUCGUUCAAGUCGCGUGUGAAAGCCCCCGGCUCAACUGGGGAGGGUCACGCGAUACUGAUCGACUCGAAGGCAGGAGAGGGUAGUGGAAUUCCCGGUGUAGUGGUGAAAUGCGCAGAUAUCAGGAGGAACACCGAUGGCGAAGGCAGCUCGCUGGGACGGUACUGACGCUGAGGAGCGAAAGCGUGGGGAGCAAACAGG